CGGACGGGUGAGUAACACGUGGAUAACCUACCUAUAAGACUGGGAUAACUUCGGGAAACCGGAGCUAAUACCGGAUAAUAUAUUGAACCGCAUGGUUCAAUAGUGAAAGACGGUUUUGCUGUCACUUAUAGAUGGAUCCGCGCCGCAUUAGCUAGUUGGUAAGGUAACGGCUUACCAAGGCAACGAUGCGUAGCCGACCUGAGAGGGUGAUCGGCCACACUGGAACUGAGACACGGUCCGAGACUCCUACGGGAGGGCAGCAGCG
rnacentral:rRNA from 1 species